GUCGUGUGCUGGCCUCUGCUAAUGGGGAAGACCGGGAAGCAGCAGCCAGAGGCCUUCCCGGGAUCCACGCCUGCUAGCUCACUUCUGGGGCAGGUGGAAACGGAAGCUCAAAGCCACUUCUCCUUGACUUUAGAAAUGCUGGAGGAUUUGCUUCCGGUGAGCCCUGAGGAAUGAGGAGUGGCCAGCCUGGCUGACCUGGGCAAGACAGCUUUGGAAAGGCUGGGUCUGAACGCUCUAGAACACUCAGACCCCCACUCCCCAGGGUCCCUGCUGGCCUUGGUCAGUGAUACAUGGCACAAACUGGAGGGACACUGCCUGGUUCAAGUCCCAGCUCCAACUCUGGCAAGCUGUGUGACCUUAGGUAAGUUACUGAACUUCUCUGUGCUUCAAUUUUUUCAUUUGUCAAAUGGGAUGGUGAUAUCAGAGCUAGCCCCCGCCCUGACCUCCACCCUCAGGAAGAUUAACAAGACAGUGCCUGCCUAACACACGGGAGAAGGCCCAGCACAGAGGGGAUGCUCAGAAGGGUU
rnacentral:lncRNA from 1 species